GGGUUGGACAAUGUGAUCGUUUUGUGGUGAAAAAAAAAAGCUUCUUAGUUGUUUCAUGUUUGCAAGCCUCAUUUUAUGAGUUGAAACCCGCUUAAGUUGGUGAAACAUAAAUUUAUAGCAUGGACAUUGAUAAAUUGAAAGAGUUCGUAGUGGGGUUGUUAUGUCCCAUUCUAUCCAUAUUUUCGACAGUAUGCUGCAUCAUUCAUUUGUACAAGUUUUUCAAGACUACUGGACCACAACAAAUGCCUUCUUUUUUCAAAAAUGCAACUCAACAUACACGAUAUGUCUCAUAAAUAGAGUACCUAUUCUAUCUCACUCCGCUAAAAACACUAUUCAAUCUAAGAAAGAAUCAAACCACUCACCUUUACAAAUACGUCCCAUGUAAUCAACCAUGGUAGACCACUCUUCCGAAUAUCCGGACGGGCAAGUAUCGACGCAUUGGCGAGUCUUGAUCACAAUUAAAUGGACACACUUUAAACAUCUAUAAGUAGACAAGCCGGCAGAAUUUUUCGUUGCAUUAGACAAGCUUCCGCCUUCCGAGCUGAUCACUGUUCC